rnacentral:rRNA from 1 species
CUUGCAAACUGGAGAUGGCGACCGGCGCACGGGUGAGUAACACGUAUCCAACCUGCCGAUAACUCGGGGAUAGCCUUUCGAAAGAAAGAUUAAUACCCGAUGGCAUAAUAGAACCGCAUGGUUUGAUUAUUAAAGAAUUUCGGUUAUCGAUGGGGAUGCGUUCCAUUAGGCAGUUGGUGGGGUAACGGCCCACCAAACCUUCGAUGGAUAGGGGUUCUGAGAGGAAGGUCCCCCACAUUGGAACUGAGACACGGUCCAAACUCCUACGGGAGGCAGCAUA